AAUCCGAGAAUUUCACCUCUGACAGUUAAAUACGAAUGCCCCCAACUAUCCCUCUUCAUCAUUACCUCGCUUCUUGCAACCAACAGCGUAGAAACGAAGUCCAAUGCUAUUAUUCCAUGCUGAGCUAUGCACGACGAGAGCCUGCUUGGAACACUCUUAUUUCCUCAAAGUAAAAGUCAAGGAUCUCGCACCACACAAUGAAGUGCAGACACGUUCCCCUUGAAAGGGCCAGAUGCACGCCCUGUACACACCACUUGGGCGGACGAGCGUCACCUGGCAGAACUCCAACUACGAGCUUUUUAACCGCAACAACUUUAAUAUACGCUAUUGGAGCUGGAAUUACCGC
rnacentral:misc_RNA from 1 species